UGUAGAGUACAGUGCUGGGAAUUUGGAUCUGCCAGAGAGAAGCCAUGAAGUGCUUUCUUUAAGUGGAAAGGAAAGAAAGAAAAGUCGUCUAGCCGAGGCUGCUAAAAUGUAUGGUUUGGUGAUACAGAUGUUUCCUUUGUACUGGAAGUGUCACUGCCAGUUAACGAAGUAUCUCAGCUCAUAAAUCUCUCCUGCCACUCAUCCUGACAAGUUGGAAAGGAAGAGGCUGCCUACAGAUGGUGUUUCAACCUCGCAUAGUGCCUGGUAUGGAACAGUUGCCCAACAAAUGAACUGCAAAUGAAUGAGAAACGAUCCUGAGAGAGUAGUGAGCAAAGAGGCGAAGAUUUUAUAAACUUCUAAUUAUUUAAAGCACUGUGUUUUCCUACCCAAAUGUUUUAAUUAGGCCUUUUAUACAUUAAGCAUUUGGCUUAUUUGGUAAUUAUUGUUCUGUUACGUCACACUUAGAAAACCUAGCAUUAUGAAUAAAACUAAUUCGAGG